rnacentral:rRNA from 1 species
UACGUAGGGGGCGAGCGUUGUCCGGAGUUACUGGGCGUAAAGGGCAUGCAGGCGGUCGGACGCGUUUUGUGUGACAGCGGAUGGCUUACCUAUCCGAGCAUACGAAAGACGGUUGGACUUGAGGACUCGAGAGGGACACGGGAUUCCGGGUGGAGUGGUGAAAUGCGUAGAGAUCCGGAGGAACACCGAAGGCGAAGGCAGUGUCCUGGCGAGUGACUGACGCUGAGGUGCGAAAGCCAGGGGAGCGAACGGG